rnacentral:rRNA from 1 species
UACGUAGGGGGCGAGCGUUGUCCGGAAUUAUUGGGCGUAAAGCGCGCGCAGGCGGCCCUUUAAGUCUGAUGUGAAAGCCCGCGGCUCAACCGCGGAGGGGCAUUGGAAACUGGAGGGCUUGAGUGCAGGAGAGGAGAGUGGAAUUCCACGUGUAGCGGUGAAAUGCGUAGAGAUGUGGAGGAACACCAGUGGCGAAAGCGGCUCUCUGGCCUGCAACUGACGCUGAGGCGCGAAAGCGUGGGGAGCAAAC